UACGAAGGGGGCUAGCGUUGCUCGGAAUUACUGGGCGUAAAGGGCGCGUAGGCGGAUAGUUUAGUCAGAGGUGAAAGCCCAGGGCUCAACCCUGGAAUUGCCUUUGAUACUGGCUAUCUUGAGUUCGGGAGAGGUGAGUGGAACUCCGAGUGUAGAGGUGAAAUUCGUAGAUAUUCGGAAGAACACCAGUGGCGAAGGCGACUCACUGGCCCGAUACUGACGCUGAGCGCGAAAGCGUGGGGAGCAAACAGG
rnacentral:rRNA from 1 species